rnacentral:rRNA from 3 species
UGGGGAAUAUUGCACAAUGGAGGGAACUCUGAUGCAGCGACGCCGCGUGAACGAAGAAGGCUUUCGAGUCGUAAAGUUCUUUUAUAUGGGAAGAUAAUGACGGUACCAUAAGAAAAAGCUCCGGCUAACUACGUGCCAGCAGCCGCGGUAAUACGUAGGGGGCUAGCGUUGUCCGGAAUCACUGGGCGUAAAGGGUUCGCAGGCGGAAAUGCAAGUCAGGUGUAAAAGGCAGUAGCUUAACUACUGUAAGCAUUUGAAACUGCAUAUCUUGAGAAGAGUAGAGGUAAGUGGAAUUUUUAGUGUAGCGGUGAAAUGCGUAGAUAUUAAAAAGAAUACCGGUGGCGAAGGCGACUUACUGGGCUCAUUCUGACGCUGAGGAACGAAAGCGUGGGUAGCAAACAGG